GCCAGUGUGGUGUAGUGGUUUGAAUGUCAGACUAUGGUUCUGGAGACCAGUGUUCAAUCCCAGUUUAGUCA